UACGUAGGGGGCGAGCGUUGUCCGGAGUUACUGGGCGUAAAGAGCGCGCAGGCGGUCGUUCAAGUCGCGUGUGAAAGCCCCCGGCUCAACUGGGGAGGGUCACGCGAUACUGAUCGACUCGAAGGCAGGAGAGGGUAGUGGAAUUCCCGGUGUAGUGGUGAAAUGCGUAGAUAUCGGGAGGAACACCAGUGGCGAAGGCGACUACCUGGCCUGUUCUUGACGCUGAGGCGCGAAAGCUAGGGGAGCAAACGGG
rnacentral:rRNA from 1 species